rnacentral:piRNA from 1 species
UGGCUCAACACAAUAGCAUGAAGGAAG